AUUCCAGCUCCAAUAGCGUAUAUUUAAGUUGUUGCAGUUAAAAAGCUCGUAGUUGGAUUUUGGUUAAGAGGGCGCGGUCGGCCGUUUGGUCUGUACUGCGUUGUCUUGACUUCCUGAUGAGGACAUGCUCUUGGUUAACGCUGAGACAUGGAGUCAUCGUGGUUACUUUGAAAAAAUUAGAGUGUUCAAAGCGGGCUUACGCUUGAAUAUAUUAGCAUGGAAUAACACUAUAGGACUCCUGUCCUAUCUCGUUGGUCUCGGGAUGGGAGUAAUGAUUAAGAGGAACAGUUGGGGGCAUUCGUAUUUCAUUGUCAGAGGUGAAAUUCUUGGAUUUAUGAAAGACGAACUUCUGCGAAAGCAUUUGCCAAGGAUGUUUUCAUCG
rnacentral:rRNA from 1 species